AGAGUUGUGUGAUUUGUAAGCAAACUCAUGGUUCCUGCACUCAGUGUUGCAAGUGUGCGACUCAUUUUCAUGUGAUGUGUGCAUCAAGAGCAGGAUAUAGCAUGGAGUUGCAUUGCUUGGAGAAGAAUGGGAUGUAAAUGAUGAAAAAGUUCGUAUACUGCUCUGUUCACAGGAGCCUAAAUCCAGAUGCAGUUGUUGUCAUGCAUACUCCUUCAGGGGUUUUCGCUGCCAGAAAUGUUCUUCAGAAUGUGAAUGAAUGUCUUAGAGGUUCAACACUGAUUCAUCCAAGACUGCAGAGCUCCCUGGAUCCCCAGC